CCUACGGGAGGCAGCAGUGAGGAAUAUUGGUCAAUGGGCGCGAGCCGGAACCAGCCAAGUCGAGUGAGGGAAGAAGGUCCGAAGGAUGGUAAACCUCUUUUGUCGGGGAGCAAAAUACGCCACGCGUGCCGUUCCGAGUGUACCCGACGAAAAAGCAUCGGCUAACUCCGUGCCAGCAGCCGCGGUAAUACGGAGGAUGCGAGCGUUAUCCGGAUUUAUUGGGUUUAAAGGGUGCGUAGGCGGGCUGUUAAGUCAGCGGUAAAAUGUCGGGGCUCAACCCCGGCCUGCCGUUGAAACUGGCUGCCUCGAGUGGGCGAGAGGCAUGCGGAAUGCGUGGUGUAGCGGUGAAAUGCUUAGAUAUUGCGCAGAACUCCGAUUGCGAAGGCAGCAUACCGGCGCCCGACUGACGCUGAGGCACGAAAGCGUGGGUAUCGAACAGGAUUAGAUACCCCAGUAGUC
rnacentral:rRNA from 1 species